rnacentral:rRNA from 1 species
UACAGAGGUGGCAAGCGUUGCUCGGAAUCACUGGGCUUAAAGGGCAUGUAGGCGGGCGAGUAAGCGCCUUGUGAAAUCCCCCGGCUCAACCGGGGAACCGCUCGGCGAACUGCUCGUCUCGAGGGAGACAGGGGCGACCGGAACUCUGGGUGGAGCGGUGAAAUGCGUAGAGAUCGGGAGGAACAUCAGUGGCGAAGGCGGCCAUCUGGGACAACACUGACGCUGAAGCACGAAAGCGUGGGGAGCAAACAGG